GCUACCAGUUUCCAGAUGACGUAGGCGUCUCUAUUGGGACCCCCUUGGACCUUCAGUGGAUCCGACUGGAGAUUCAUUACAGCAAUUUUAACAACCUUCCUGGUGUGUAUGAUUCCUCGGGGAUUUGCGUGUACUACACUUCUCAGCUGCGCAAAUACGACACGGAUGUCCUCCAGCUGGGCUUCUUCACGUUUCCCAUCCACUUCAUCCCCCCGGGCGCUGAGUCCUUCAUGUCCUAUGGGCUGUGUAGGACGGAGAAGUUUGAGGAGAUGAAUGGAGCUCCUAUGCCUGACAUAUAGGUAUAUGGCUACCUGCUACACACCCACUUGGCUGGACGGGCUCUGCAAGCAGUGCAAUACAGGAAUGGAACACAACUUCGAAAAAUCUGUAAAGACGAUUCCUAUGACUUCAACCUGCAGGAGACUCGAGAUUUGCCCUCUAGAGUGGAGAUCAAGCCGGGAGAUGAAUUGCUGGUAGAAUGUCACUACCAGACACUGGACCGUGACUCCAUGACAUUUGGAGGCCCCAGCACCAUUAAUGAGAUGUGCCUCAUCUUCCUCUUCUACUAUCCCCAAAAUAACAUCUCCAGCUGCAUGGGGUACCCUGACAUUAUCUA
rnacentral:misc_RNA from 1 species